UAGCACAGUGGUUAAAGCACUCAGCUGCUAACUGAAAUGUCGGUGGUUUGAACCCACC
rnacentral:tRNA from 1 species